rnacentral:rRNA from 1 species
CCUGGCUCAGGACGAACGCUGGCGGCGUGCCUAAUACAUGCAAGUAGAACGCUGAAGGAGGAGCUUGCUCUUCUGGAUGAGUUGCGAACGGGUGAGUAACGCGUAGGUAACCUGCCUGGUAGCGGGGGAUAACUAUUGGAAACGAUAGCUAAUACCGCAUAAUAGUAGAUGUUGCAUGACAUUUGCUUAAAAGGUGCAAUUGCAUCACUACCAGAUGGACCUGCGUUGUAUUGGCUAGUUGGUGAGGUAACGGCUCACCAGGGCGACGAUACAUAGCCGACCGGAGAGGGUGAUCGGCCACACUAAUACUGGGACGCGGCCCAGACUCCUACGG